CAGCAGCCACGGUAAUACGUAGGGUGCGAGCGUUAAUCGGAAUUACUGGGCGUAAAGCGUGCGCAGGCGGUUGUGUAAGACAGGUGUGAAAUCCCCGGGCUUAACCUGGGAACUGCGCUUGUGACUGCACAGCUAGAGUAUGGCAGAGGGGGGUGGAAUUCCACGUGUAGCAGUGAAAUGCGUAGAGAUGUGGAGGAACACCGAUGGCGAAGGCAGCCCCCUGGGACAACACUGACGCUGAGGCACGAAAGCGUGGGGAGCAAACAGGAUUAGAUACCCCCGUAGUCCCUGUCUCUUAUAC
rnacentral:rRNA from 1 species